rnacentral:tRNA from 1 species
GUAGUUGUGGCGCAGGGUUAAGGCGAUGGACUAGAAAUCCAUUGGGGUCUCCCGCGCAGGUUCGACUCCUGCCAACUACG